rnacentral:rRNA from 1 species
UACGUAGGGUGCAAGCGUUGUCCGGAAUUAUUGGGCGUAAAGAGCUCGUAGGCGGUCUGUCGCGUCGGGCGUGAAAAUCCAGGGCUCAACCCUGGACCUGCGUUCGAUACGGGCAGACUAGAGUUCGGUAGGGGAGACUGGAAUUCCUGGUGUAGCGGUGAAAUGCGCAGAUAUCAGGAGGAACACCGGUGGCGAAGGCGGGUCUCUGGGCCGAAACUGACGCUGAGGAGCGAAAGCGUGGGGAGCGAACAGG